AUUGAACGCUGGCGGCAUGCUUUACACAUGCAAGUCGAACGAUAACAGGGUGCUUGCACCGCUGACGAGUGGCGAACGGGUGAGUAAUGCGUCGGAACGUGCCGAGUAGUGGGGGAUAACGCAGCGAAAGUUGUGCUAAUACCGCAUACGUACUGAGGUAGAAAGUGGGGGACCUUCGGGCCUCACGCUAUUCGAGCGGCCGACGUCUGAUUAGCUAGUAGGUGAGGUAAAGGCUCACCUAGGCGACGAUCAGUAGCGGGUCUGAGAGGAUGAUCCGCCACACUGGGACUGAGACACGGCCCAGACUCCUACGGGAGGCAGCAGUGGGGAAUUUUGGACAAUGGGCGAAAGCAUGAUCCAGCCAUGCCGCGUGUCUGAAGAAGGCCUUCGGGUUGUAAAGGGCUUUUGUCAGGGAGGAAAUCCCUAGCGUUAAUACCGCUGGGGGAUGACAGUACCUGAAGAAUAAGCACCGGCUAACUAUGUGCCAGCCGCCGCCGUAACAC
rnacentral:rRNA from 1 species